GAGAAUAGCGUAUUGAGUUACUGGGCAAUGCGAGUCCAAAGAGUAGGCCCACUGGCGAUCCCGAAACGGGCCUUGCAAUGGCCCGUUUAGAUUGAUUUAAAAGGUCAGGGUUGCGGCCGUUCGCCAUUUCAUUACAGGUAACCUAAGCCGGGAAAAACUUUCGACGGUCUGGAAGAGUCCAGCGGCCGUACGCCGUUGGGGAUGAAGAAUGCCGGCUACCGUACGCCAGCGCAUGAAGGGGGUAAACUUCGAUUGGCGUGCUACGGCGGGUGGCCGGAACCAUGGCGUUUCAAGAGCUCGCCGUCGCCUUCAAUGGCCUCCGCAGCCGAUCGCUGUCUCAAACAAGGUUUGGAGGCAUUUCCUUAUUCCCUAUGGCAUCUCGUAGGCAUUUGGAGAGGAAUAGAGUAAUGGUGGAGAUGGAAUGCGGAUCCAUUCAGCAGUAAGGAAGAGUUCUUUUGUGAAUGCUUCCCUCUGCAAUCUUUUGGAGCAUUUGAUGGGAGUGGAAGUUCAAUCUCAUGAACCUGCCACUCAGGUGCUGUAUGAAUUCCAAGCAUGGUAUGCCAAAACGGUAACGGUGCUAAUCGUUUCACGUUAUGAAACCGAAAGAGCUGUAAUGUCUGUUACAGAAAAAAAUGACUCGUAACAGCUCCGUAAUGAAUCCCACAAUGGCUCCGUAACAGUCCUGUAAUGGUCCCAAAACAGAUUUUGUUUUUCAAAAAAGUAAAAAGAAAAAGAAAGGCCGUAAUGGCCUGUAUCAUAAUGAUAACGACGGCCAUCAUUACCGUUAUGGAUCACCUUGAUUCUAAGUCAUGGUUCAGAUGCAUGCUCCCUCUCCCACUCGAGUAGUCUUAGAGGAGUUACUCUCGGCUUUGCUGAAUGAGAUUAUUGUUCUUGCUUCUAGGAUAAACAUUUUGUUUUUAUUGUUCUUGCUUCUAGUAUAAACAUUUUUUUUACCUAUGUUAAUAGAGGCAAACGAUUUAACCCGAGAUGUUGGGAGAUUCACUCUUUGUAUUGAGAACUUGUAGUGUCUUUCUUUUUGCUUGAAUGGAAUUUCAGCCCAUGUUAUUAUCAAGUCAAUGUGAUCAUAGUGACCGGGCUGGCCAAGUUCUACCCAGGAGCCAUCUGCUUUGUGCUUGACAUGGACUGAGCCUAAAGGUCUUCCAGCUUAGUUUUCACUUUUCAGGCACAAGAACUAUUUGUGUCUGUGCCUGCGCUUGCCUAAAGCUCCACAAAUACCCAGCACGGUUCAGCCUGAUCUGUCCAUGGGUUGCAAGUUGGUUUUUGUGUAUUGAAUGGUCACGACUGCUAUGGGGUUGUAUUGCCCAUCUAUUGUGCUGUAUUGGGCCGAUAUAGCCAAUGUUUUAAAUAUCAUUAUCGCAUAAUGUAUCGCACCCUUGGGAUACGGAUACAUAUCGGUUAUCGCAUGAGAUAUAUUGGUUGUAUCGUGUAAUGUAUUGCUGUUGUUGGGAAACAUGGGAACAUUGGGAAAUUGGUUGAUUUUUUCAAUGGAACUUCGGAGAUUGUUGAAAAAGACAUCAAUACACACUUAGAAAUCAAAACAUUACAAAAAAUAAAACAAAAUGCACAUAAUAGGGGUUUCCUUUGUAUGGGGUCCUAAUAUAUGCGCUUUCCAACUGAACUGAUGUAAGUAUAUUCGAAGUCUAUCCAUAUAAUUUAUAAACAUAAGAAGUCAUGUAUGGAAACACAAGCAAUACAUUCAAAAGCAAAAGAAGAAUCACUAGUUCAGGUUUCAUGUUUAAUUUUGUGUUUAGAUACAAAGAUUACAACUAAUUUGCGAGAAAUUGAGAAAUUUCAAUUUUUCUUAAUUUUCCACAACUUGACGCAUCUCCCCUAAAUCUCGAAAUCAAAGUUUCAAAUCUAUGAUUUUUCAUGGAAAAUAUGAAGAAUCAUAAAUUUGUAACAAUUUGACACUGGUUUAACAUGAUUUACAACAAAAA